rnacentral:rRNA from 1 species
UACAGAGAGUGCAAGCGUUAAUCGGAAUUACUGGGCGUAAAGCGCACGUAGGUGGGUGUUUAAGUCGGAUGUGAAAUCCCUGGGCUUAACCUGGGAAUGGCAUCCGAUACUGAGCAUCUUGAGUAUGGUAGAGGGAAGUGGAAUUUCCGGUGUAGCGGUGAAAUGCGUAGAUAUCGGAAAGAACAUCAGUGGCGAAGGCGGCUUCCUGGACCAAUACUGACACUGAGGUGCGAAAGCGUGGGGAGCAAACAGG